AUUGAACGCUGGCGGCAGGCUUAACACAUGCAAGUCGAGCGGGGUGAUGGUGCUUGCACUAUCACUUAGCGGCGGACGGGUGAGUAAUGCUUAGGAAUCUGCCUAUUAGUGGGGGACAACAUCUCGAAAGGGAUGCUAAUACCGCAUGCGUCCUACGGGAGAAAGCAGGGGAUCACUUGUGACCUUGCGCUAAUAGAUGAGCCUAAGUCGGAUUAGCUAGUUGGUGGGGUAAAGGGCUACCAAGGCGACGAACUGUAGCGGGUCGGAGAGGAUGGACCGCCACACUGGGACUGGGACACGGCCCAGACUCCUACGGGAAGCAGCAGUGGGGAAUAUUGGACAAUGGGGGGAACCCUGAUCCAGCCAUGCCGCGUGUGUUAAGAAGGCCUUAUGGUUGUAAAGCACUUUAAGCGAGGAGGAGGCUCUUUUGGUUAAUACCCAAGAUGAGUGGACGUUACUCGCAGAAUAAGCACCGGCUAACUCUGUGCCAGCCGCCGCGGUAA
rnacentral:rRNA from 1 species